GGUAAAAGAUCAGAUGAUCAUUGGCUUAUCAUAUUAGUCUGUAUCUUCAGUCUGGUCAGCGUGUGUCAUGUUUUAUACAUAACACGUCAACAUCUAAGAGUGUCCAGAGAACGUGAUGAAAACACAUCCUUCUUAGACCAAGUACUCACUCUUCAACUCAAUCAGAAUAACAUAAAUGAAAAGUGGAACUCAGGAUUGAACGUGUCGACUGAGGAUGAGGAGAUGGAUUCAGAAGAAGCCAUGCGACUCACUGUUUCUGUUCAUACACUUCAUUCCUCUUCAACACACUUAAAAACUAUCACUGAACUUUCAGAUACCAGCAAUGAUCAGCAAGUUCAUCUGAAAAAUUCGGAGGAAAAUGUGAAAAAAGAUGACUUCCUGAGUGGAGCGACACUCAGUCAUUGGGGAAAAAUUAGAAGACGAAGCAAAAGUUGGACAGGAACCUUUUCUACAUAUGACAGAAAUGUACUUCCCAAAAAGGAGGACAAUGUCAGGGAGAGAAUAAUGACAAGUUCUCUAAAGUCAAUUCCUUUUAUCAAAGAUUUUAAAAAAGAGUAACAGAAGCCAUAUAUGUUAAAAGGCCAUCUUGAAACAAAAAUGGAGGUCAGCAACAUGACCUGUCAUCAACUCCAUCCAUCCAUCCAAUUUCUACCGCUUGUCCCUUUCUUAGCUACAUUCAGGCAGAAGGCGGUGUACACCCUGGACAAGUCGCCACCUCAUCGCAGGGCCAACACAGAUAGACAGACAACAUUCACACUCACAUCCACACACUAGGGCCAAUUUAGUGUUGCCAAUCAACCUAUCCCCAGGUGCAUGUCUUUGGAGGUGGGAGGAAGCCGGAGUACCCGGAGGGAACCCACGCAGUCACGGGGAGAACAUGCAAACUCCACGCAGAAAGAUCCCGAGCCUGGGAUUGAACUCAGGACCUUCGUAUUGUGAGGCACAUGCACUAACCCCUGUUCCACCGUGCAUCAACUUACACUAUUCUAACAUCUCUCCCCAGAAGAAUAGGCCAUUUUCCACGAGGACCUUUUUCAGGAACUUUCCCACUUA